rnacentral:rRNA from 1 species
UACGUAGGGUGCAAGCGUUAAUCGGAAUUACUGGGCGUAAAGCGUGCGCAGGCGGUUAUGCAAGACAGAGGUGAAAUCCCCGGGCUCAACCUGGGAACUGCCUUUGUGACUGCAUAGCUAGAGUACGGUAGAGGGGGAUGGAAUUCCGCGUGUAGCAGUGAAAUGCGUAGAUAUGCGGAGGAACACCGAUGGCGAAGGCAAUCCCCUGGACCUGUACUGACGCUCAUGCGCGACAGCGUGGGGAGCAAACAAG